rnacentral:rRNA from 1 species
GACGAACGCUGGCGGCGUGCCUAAUACAUGCAAGUAGAACGCACAGUUUAUACCGUAGCUUGCUACACCAUAGACUGUGAGUUGCGAACGGGUGAGUAACGCGUAGGUAACCUGCCUGGUAGCGGGGGAUAACUAUUGGAAACGAUAGCUAAUACCGCAUAAUAUUAAUUAUUGCAGGAUAAUUAAUUGAAAGGUGCAAUUGCACCACUACCAGCUGGACCUGCGUUGUAUUAGCUAGUAGGUGAGGUAACGGCUCACCUAGGCGACGAUACAUAGCCGACCUGGGAGGGUGAACGGCCACACUGGGACUGGGGCACGGCCCAGACUCCUACGGGAGGCAGCAGUAGGGAAUCUUCGGCAAUGGACGAAAGUCUGACCGAGCAACGCCGCGUGAGUGAAGAAGGUUUUCGGAUCGUAAAGCUCUGUUGUAAGGGAAGAACGGGUGUGAGGGUGGAAAGUUCACACUGUGACGGUAUCUUAACAGAAAGGGACGGCUAACUACGUG